GGGGGGGGGGGGCGGGGCGGGGAGCUUGUUGGGGUUGGGUCUGGUUUGGAUUUGUACUCAAUUAUUUUUUUUCCCCAAGGAAGUGUAUUUCUGUGACAUGAUUAGUCUCAUAUCAAUUUUUUGGGAUUGUGUUUGUAAUCUUUGAACUCUAAAUGUUACCGUCAGCCUGUUUGUCCUUUGAUUCAUUCCUUCCUAUCACUUCACGUUGCACCUUUUUAUUGGCAGGGAGAUACCAUGCCGUUGGUCGGCCGGCCCGAAAGGCUACAAGUACACCCACCAUUGGCGGCAGCGUAGCACGCACCCGAUUAGGUUUGGGCAUUCAUGCCACUGUGAUGCAAGUACUGGUGUUUAUGGGAAAUGGACUAUCAAGGUUGAUGGCGGGUCACGGUAGCAUCACUCCAGUCUCACAAAGUGAAGUGAAUAAGAGUAUUCUGGUUUCAUGUGGUAGAAAGACUUUUCAUUUCUGCAGGGGAUGCUAAUGAGCAAGAUGAAAGAGUUCAAAAGGACAGGAACCAGCGAAGGGUCCGUGGUGAGAAAGAGCGUUAUUGAGAGAAGCAUUUGAUGUAGAUUUAUAGGUGAGGGAUCUAGUGCAAACUGAAUCACCAUUUUAUUUGUAUUCCUGACCAUCCACAUAUACAUAUGUUGUUCCUACACCAUGAAAAUUCCAUGCCUAGCCCUUUUAACAAAUUGAGUCCACAAGAAUGAGAUCAUGCUCAAUUGGUAGCUAGUUGGUUUCUAAAAGUCCUGAUGAUAAUCAUCUAUUUGUUCAGCAAGGUGUUCUUUAAUAUUCAGCAGAUGAGAACUUGUCAGAGUUUUGGAUUGUUCAAA